rnacentral:rRNA from 1 species
UGGGAAUUUUGGACAAUGGACGCAAGUCUGAUCCAGCCAUGCCGCGUGCGGGAAGAAGGCCUUCGGGUUGUAAACCGCUUUUGUCAGGGAAGAAACGAGUUUCUCUAAUACAGAGACUUAAUGACGGUACCUGAAGAAUAAGCACCGGCUAACUACUUGCCAGCACCCGCGGUAAUACGUAGGGUGCAAGCGUUAAUCGGAAUUACUGGGCGUAAAGCGUGCGCAGGCGGUUAUGCAAGACAGAGGUGAAAUCCCCGGGCUCAACCUGGGAACUGCCUUUGUGACUGCAUAGCUAGAGUACGGUAGAGAGGGAUGGAAUUCCGCGUGUAGCAGUGAGAUGCGUAGAUAUGCGGAGGAACACCGAUGGCGAAGGCAAUCCCCUGGACCUGUACUGACGCUCAUGCACGAAAGCGUGGGGAGCAAACA